CCUACGGGAGGCAGCAGUGGGGGAUAUUGGACAAUGGGGGGAACUCUGAUCCAGCGACGCCGCGUGAGUGAAGAAGUAUUUCGGUAUGUAAAGCUCUGUCAGCAGGGAAGAAAGAAAUGACGGUACCUGACCAAGAAGCCCCGGCUAACUACGUGCCAGCAGCCGCGGUAAUACGGAGGGGGCAAGCGUUAUCCGGAAUUACUGGGUGUAAAGGGAGCGUAGACGGUUAAGUAAGUCUGGAGUGAAAGGCCGGGGCCCAACCCCGGGACUGCUCUGGAAACUAUUGAACUUGAGUGCAGGAGAGGUAAGCGGAAUUCCUAGUGUAGCGGUGAAAUGCGUAGAUAUUAGGAGGAACACCAGUGGCGAAGGCGGCUUACUGGACUGUAACUGACGUUGAGGCUCGAAAGCGUGGGGAGCAAACAGGAUUAGAUACCCGGGUAGUC
rnacentral:rRNA from 1 species